AUUGAACGCUGGCGGCGUGCCUAACACAUGCAAGUCGAGCGGUAACAGGUGUAGCAAUACAUGCUGACGAGCGGCGGACGGGUGAGUAACGCUUGGGAAUCUGCCUAUUAGUGGGGGACAACCCGGGGAAACUCGGGCUAAUACCGCAUACGCUCUACGGAGGAAAGCCGGGGACCGCAAGGCCUGGCGCUAAUAGAUGAGCCCAAGUCGGAUUAGCUAGUUGGUAGGGGUAAUGGCCUACCAAGGCGACGAUCCGUAACUGGUCUGAGAGGACGACCAGUCACACCGGAACUGAGACACGGUCCGGACUCCUACGGGAGGCAGCAGUGGGGAAUAUUGGACAAUGGGCGAAAGCCUGAUCCAGCGACGCCGCGUGGGUGAAGAAGGCCUGCGGGUUGUAAAGCCCUUUCAGUGGGGAAGAAAAGCCUCGACCUAACACGUCGGGGUCUUGACGUAACCCAUAGAAGAAGCACCGGCUAACUCUGUGCCAGCCGCCGCCGUAAG
rnacentral:rRNA from 1 species